UUUGUUUGUUGUUGUUGUUUUUUUUUUUAAAUCAUUAUUUAUUUAUACAUAAGUAUGCACAGUUAUCAAAAUACAGACAAAAAUCAACCCAGAAAAUCCAGACAAUCCUAAAAUCUAGUGGAGGAGCAGAUCGCAGUUCUGGAGGUCUUU